AAGAAAUAUAAAUUAUGUUUAAUGUGGUUUCCUCUAUACUUUGGUUAUUAAACUUUGCUUGAAACUUUCCCAUUUGACAGCUUUCUUUGCUGCCAAAUUUUUCAAGAAUUUUAGACUUCUUUGAAGUAUAUAUUUAAGUUUUGCCAUUAUUGACUCUUAAGUAUGGUGUGUCUUGCGUUGCACAUCACAACCUCAAGAAGUCAUCAUUCAGGCGAGAUGUUAACAAUGAAACUGUGCUCUCUGUAGGAAUAGGCAUUUGUGUUUUUCUCAUACUGUUUAUUGGGUGAUAGUAGGCAUUGAUGUCCUGAGUUGUUUGUUUUUGUUUUGAGCCUGAUCAGAAUUUCUGUUCUGUUGAGAACUUGGUACAGAAUAAACUGGGGUUUUUGGUUUGUGUUAACAUCACCAGCACAGUUUCUAGAAUGUGGCUGUACUGCUGAGCAGUAAGCCUUUGAAAGUGGCAGUCAAUGCAAGUAGAAAGAAGUUCAGGCGUUGCAUUCCUGUGUUCGCCUUAUUUCUGUACAUCUACAUAAUGGCAGACUUUUCUACCACAUUAGAAGCAUAUUUUGAGGUAAAUGAUACUUUGGCAUAAUUUACUGACUUACCACUUAAAGUAUAGUCAUUACUCUCUUUACUGUGAAAUUUUACAUGCCUACCAGAGUUACCGUGUAUUAAUAUUAUCAUCAUAUGAUAAACAUCUCAACAGUUGGGUUUCCCCAUUUUGCUUCAGAAAGUUACUUAAUUUCUAUCUGGGCAUUAACAGAGAAAGCAAGUAGCCUUUUGUGCUGCUUUAAAUCAGAAUAUUGAGGAUAUCCUUUUGCAAUUUGGGUUUUGUUUUGUUUUUUAAUUUCUCUUGGUGAGCAAAUUGUUCUAUGAAAACAUACUCUUACAUCCUUAAACUUGGUGAAAUGUGAGCCAAGGUGUGCUUUCUUAGAACCUGUUCUCACAUUUGAAGAUUGGAAACAGAUGACAUUAGAUGAAGUAAUAUCUCUUGAACAUCUUCUAAAAGCGCGUUUGUUUUUUAACUUACUGUACACAUAUUUCAUUUAGUUCAGAAUAUUUGAAGUGGCUCUUAAAUUUUUUGGAUCUACUUGCAGAUUUUCUAGUUGAUACCACAGAAAUCCAUCCUCUUAGCUCUGGCUGAGUGAGGACUGCCAGUGGUCGGGUAAUUUUCUUGUUCUGAGAGGCAAAAGAGGCCUUGUGCUCAGGGUAGGCUUUCAUUUCCACAGGCCAGAGAAGCUUGCAAAGUGCCAGCUAGGUUAGAUCUUUUGCCACUUCUUUCAUUUUAUUAAUUUGGGUUUUUAAAGGGCUGUUUAAAAAAAAAAGCCGGGAAACUUAAAAGUAGGCAUUACUGUAAAACUAUUUCUUAGACUUAGAACAUUUUAAACUAGGACUCAUUUUUCCACAGUAUAUUUACUUGAAGCACUAUUAUAAUCGAUGAGAAACUUUUUGACUCUGCAAUUUAAUUUAAACUUUUUCCGUUUCAAAUUGCUUUAUUUCAGGGAAAUAAUUUUCCAGUUGUUUUUGCUAUAUUCUGCAAAUAAAAAACGGAUGUUUCCUCUUUCACUUAAACUUUAGUAGGAAACAAACUACAGCAGACAAACAUUUCUUGUUGUGUUUGUUGCUUUCUUUAAUCCAAUGGAUAAAAAAGUAAAACCCUGUAAACAUUAUUUUAUUUUUUUAUGCAAUACCAUGCUGUAAAUAUGGUUCAUCAAAUAAGGAUGUACCUAUGAUUGAAUCUUUAAUUCUGCACAGUUAGAGUUUAUAUAUAAACGUGUCUUGACAAUCAAGGACUUUUAUGUGCGUCUUCCUUUAUGAUGUUUUAUUAAUGUUAUGCAUUCCAUUUGUUUUGAAGUGAGUACCAAUGUGCUAAUUUGUAUUGUCUGAAAGUAUGUAAUGUUUUUACAGCUUGUUUUUAAGAAUCUGUAAAUAUGUACAAACAAAUCACAGUACUGCUUUAUGUUAGAAGGCAUAUGAUGUUGUACUGUAUGUAAGCAAUAAUACAUAGCAGUGCUAACUUUACAAGUAGCAUCAGGAAAGUUCUAAAAACAUUUCAGAGUUAUUAUCUUUAUUUCAUGUAAUAAUGAUUAUCUUUAAUCAGUUUUUAUAAGCAAAUUCCAUUGUUCCUCCUAUUGGAACGUAACACUGUUUACACAGCAUAAUUGAAGUUGCAGGGGAGACAGGCUAAAUCUGACUUCAUCUGUACUCACUUUCACUAAGCAUUGAAUGGCCUUACCACUCUUCUGCAAGAUGGAGGAAGACUGCAAAACUUAGUGCCCAUCACACUGAAGGAAGGGGUGUGGUUUUUUUCCUGCUUCUGUACUGCUACCUAACUUUGUGGUUUGCUUUGGAUUUUAAUAUUUGUUUCUGUUUUAGAUUCAAGCCCAUAAGUUUUGAGGUGACUUCAGCUCCAUUGUGAAAUAGUUCUCUUCAUAUUUCAUAGCUACAUUUCAACAAUGCUGAACUUUCUACUUUGAUUUUUAGAUACUUAUUUUUCAACCUUGGUUUCUCAGCUGAUCAGAUGAAUUUGUUCAACUUCAAUACAAAGAAAGACAAACCUAUUGUAGUUUGAAUUGAGUAGAUAUUAUAUUGUACAGAACAGCUAACUAUUUGAACACACACACAUCACUGCUUUAGAAAUAAACUCGCCAAUUUAUAAAUGUAUAUGACCUACAUUUUAUAGGAAAAUGUUUUUAAAUGCUAGUCAUUUAUAUAAUGUGCUUUGAAGGAUUUGCUAGUCCACUUCUGUCACUUUUUAGUACACUGGUAUCUUUUAUAUGUAAUGUAUGCUUUUUAUUAUUGUAGCAGAGCAUUUCAGUAGAAAGAAUUUUGCAACAAAAUGGGGGAAAUUUUUCAUUGUUGGAUUUGAAUUAUACUGGAUUUUAUCUGUGUAGUCUUACUUGUCUUUAUUUUAAUGCUGUCUGGAAGGGAACUUGGUAUCCAAAUAAAGCAGGUAACCUCAUUUUACUUCAAGGGCAUACUGUGUAGUGCUGAAUUUAAUCUGGAAAUCUGAUGACUUUGAAAAGAAAAACAAGUUUAUAAAAAUUGUACAGAAGAAAUUAAAUGUGUAAUGGAAAUCCUGAUGGUGGAGCACGUUGAAUUUUCUGAUAUAUAGUGUUAUUUUCCUGGGAUCCCCUAUGCCGCCUUUGUAUUUCAACUAAUAAAGGAAAAAACCUUGUCACUGAAACUGGUAGGAUAAUAGGAUAUUCUGAUUAUACAGUAUUACUUUUCCUAUCCCAUUUUCUGACCCUUUCUCAAUCACUGUAAAUUUUAUUUUCUAUUUUCUCUUGAUAAUUAAACAUGUACAUAAUAUAGACACUGUUGUAUAGAACUGAAUGAAUUUUGAGUUGCUGUGCUUAAAUGGGUAAACAGGAAUAUGGAUAUUGAGAAUUUAUAAAAUGCCAGAACAAAUUUAUUGGAGAAAAGGGGGCAUCAUAUAUGUCCUGGAAGGUAAAAUAGUUGAUGUUUCUUCAGCCCUCUGGGAAAUCAUUGUGAAAGAACUACAAACUCAGUAUCUGACACCAGUGGGUCUUUCUUUCCCCACUUCUCCUCCAAACAUAAUGAGCACUAAAUUUCAAACUCUACUCAGGUGAAAAUUGCUUUGCAAUGAAACUUAUCACAUUGAAAUUUUCACUGUUAAAAGAUGUCUGUGAUAUUUUUAAAUACAGACUUUUACAUCAGUGGUCAGCAGCUUGGCAACUGAAAUUUGGUAAGUCAAUAUAUUUUAAAAUACAUUUUACCCUCCAAAAAUUGUUUUUAAACAAUUGGGAGGAUUUUUGUUGUUGUUUAAAUGUGUUUUUUAUUGUCAUUGUAAAAAUAAAAUUUUGCUUGACCCCAUAUUAUGCCAUGAAUAAAUUGCUGAGCCUUCAUAAUAUAGUGAAAGCUUGUUUCAUGCAUAAUCAUGGAACAGAGAAAUGUUCUUUAAACUGACCUAUUCAUUAAGAGGUUUAAUGAGUUUCAGAGCUUCUUGACAUUAUUGUCAUGUAGUAAACCUUGCC
ensembl:lncRNA